rnacentral:rRNA from 1 species
UACGUAGGGGGCAAGCGUUGUCCGGAAUCAUUGGGCGUAAAGCGCGUGUAGGCGGCUCGAUAAGUCUGCUGUGAAAGUCCAGGGCUCAACCCUGGGAUGCCGGUGGAUACUGUCGAGCUCGAGUCCGGAAGAGGCGAGUGGAAUUCCUGGUGUAGCGGUGAAAUGCGCAGAUAUCAGGAGGAACACCGAUGGCGAAGGCAGCUCGCUGGGACGGUACUGACGCUGAGGCGCGAAAGCCAGGGGAGCGAACGGG